rnacentral:lncRNA from 1 species
GUACCUCAUGAUGUAGAGUGUCUAACAAUGGAAGAUAAUCAGAUUGUUGAAGACAAGGAAAAGCAGGAGACAUCUACUCCUUUGAGCGAGUCAAUAAUCAUUGGUAAAACUGAAGCGAAAUCUAGGUCUAUCCCCCCACCUGGCUCUGGGCAGAGAAUAUAUGAAAUAGAUCCAAGUUUGACAGGUUUCCGUCAACAUCUUGAUUACCGGUGAGAUACUCUAUCUUUACUCGUGUAAGAUAUUUUUAUGUUGAACUAAGUGUUGAGAGCUUGAAGUAAAACUAAUAAAUGAGCAAUUGCUUCAUGUUAUAUACGAAAGUUUUGGUGAUCAUAUGUGAUAAUUCUCAGCAUCAACAUUUAUCAUUAGCUUUCUUAAUAUUGUUUUUUUUUUCUCUUAAUAUUGUUUUUUAGAAGUACGUUUUUGAAGGUGUCUGUUUUUGAUGAUAUCCUCAGUCUGCAUUCAUGUUAAAGAUCAAACUCCAAUAGAUAUUUCUUGCAUUUUUUCAGACAUAUUUCUAUUUCAACCUUUAGAUAAAGUAGGACUAUAGAAGUAUCUAUUUAAACAAUAGCUUGAAAUAGCUGACUAAGAUUUCAAAUGAAUAUCCUCUACAUCUUUUCCUCCCCAGUCCUCAGCAUUUUUUGCCCUGAUGAUUCUUAUAAACAAAGAGUAAUAUCAUAUGAAGUUUCAACUAAUUUGUUAAGUGUGUUUACUUAAUUCUUUGAAGACUGUUUUGGAUUUGUCUUUUCUCAAUUUAUAUUAGAUACUAAUUCAUUUUGUGCCAUGGUAUGCUAGCACUUUGGAUACCUCUGCAUCACCUAGAAAUUUUUACUGUAUUUUCUUUCCAUAUCCAUUUAUUGUUUUCAUUAUUUUCUCUGUAUAUGGAUAGUGUAAUUAACUUAUGCACUAGCCCACAUCAUAUUUUUUUUCUUUACUAAAAUCAUGCAAGAUAUUGCAUGAAAAAGUGUUUGUUGUUUUCAAUGCUGUUAGAGUCAUACCAAUGAACCCAAGUGCUAUUUUUUCCUGAAAGGACCUAAUAUAUGAUAUGAUUGUCGAGUCUAGUUGUAAGGUUGAGGUGUGAUUAUUUCUUUGUUUAGAAACAUGACAACUGCUGCCUGGAGAGAAGUGCUCCAUGUAUUCUCUCUUUUAUAGUACAAUACUUUGAUGUUUGCUAUCUUUAGACUAGCUUGUUCGUAUAUGUGUAGAAAUAUAUUGAUAGGUGUGUAUAUAUAUAUAUAUAUUUUCAAGGUAUGAUUUUGAAGAUGUUGAUAAAGUUUUUGUAACAUUCUAUAGCUAAUUUAAUCUUUUCCUGAUCGUAGAUAUUCACAGUACAAAAGAAUUCGUGAAGAAAUUGACAAGUAUGAAGGUGGUUUGGAAGUGUUUUCUCGUGGCUAUGAAAAGCUUGGAUUCAUACGCAGGUAUUCUACCUUUUUUAUUUCUGCAGGUUGAAGUCCAUUCAUUUUCUAGUAUUUUUGGCAUAACCAAUUGCACCUUCCAUUUUUGCUGUUACAUAAUGCAAUGUGUUUUCACUUAUAUUUUCUUUUGCGAAGUAAAUGAGCUGUAUCAAAAAAUGAAACUAGUGAUGAGAUGAUCUCAAAAGUGGAAAACACAACAGAAAUUCUUGUAAUUUUGCUUUGCAUUGCAAAUGUUUCUAUUAGUGUGGUGACACUUUGGCCCUUGAGUUCAUUGUUUUCAACAUCAGAGGUUCUCACAAGAAUUUUCAGUUGGUGUUGUGACACUUAUAUUUUUUUCUUCUUUUAGUUCAGUGACUCUUGUUCUGAGGAUAAGCAUAGCACCCAAACUGCAAAGAUGAGAGAUGGGUCAUCAAAUGAACUGGGAAAAAAACUGACUAAAAUUUUGUACCAAGGGUUAAGGUUCACAAAUGUAGAAAUAGUGCAUUUGGAUAGAUUUAGGCAGAUCUGUAUGCAUGUUGUGGUUCAAGAACAAAUAAAUGGGAAAAAAAUUCCCAUGUCCUAGCCAGGCCUCUUAUAAAGAUUGUAAGGUUGUACUGGUCCCAUGAAUUGAAUGCAUAAACUGAGUUCUCUCACUUCAUUGUGAUGGCAAUUGUUUAAUUUACUUGCUCAUCGCUUGUUUGUUUUCAUAUAUGCUCUAUUUGUUUCAUUACCUAUUAUCAUGCUUUAUCUUAAAAAAACCAUUAGUCUGCUAUUCUAGUGUUUAUUUUUUCUUUAUAGCCAAUCAAUUUUAGUUUCCUCGGCACAUCUCACUCUCACUGAUUGUAAUUUCUACUGGUUUCUCAGUGAAACAGGAAUAACCUACAGGGAAUGGGCACCAGGAGCUAAGGUCCGUGCUGUUUCGAUUCUGUCAUGUGGUCCUUAGUUUGUAUAGUAAAUCUCAGAGAAGGCAGUUAUCUCAGGACUGCCUAUUCUCAAAUCUGAUCUAUUUAGUCAUGGCACCUGUAUUACUGAACAAUUGGAUGUAUAUUCAGGCACGAACAAAGGGCAUAUGCUGUUAAUAGCAUAAGCCUCUAUAAAUUUACAUGAGAGGCUGCUUUUUUGUUCAGCAUUUUAGUCAGAGAAAAUGUCCCUCCGAACUGAUUCAAGCUAACAAAUUGACUGGCUAUGAGAUAAUUGUUUUUUGUUCCUGACAAAUAUGUUCGUACAUUGACUAGUUACUAUUUAUUUCAGUGGGCAGCAUUGAUUGGAGAUUUUAACAAUUGGAAUCCCAAUGCAGAUGUCAUGACCCAGGUAUGUUAUCUAUGCUUUUGCUUUAUGUAGCAUUGGAUCCAAUGAUGGAUAUUUUCUGCAUAAUUCCAAUGGUAUUAUUCAUGCUUGUUGGAAUUGUCUGUUAUCUUUUCAAAUGAUUGGUAAAGUGCAUUGAAGCUUUGUCUCCCUUUCUUCUCCUGUACACUUCACAGCAACAGUCUUCUACUAUCUGCUCAUUUUUUUCAGAUUCUGUUUACAUAAACACAUACAUUACUCAUUUUAUUGAUGGAGAAAAAAGGAAAUCUUUAUAUUGGAUUGCUCUACUAUGGAUUCUUUCUGUCUAUUCCAACUCCUGCCUUUCUCAUUUUCCUUUUCUGAUCAUCCUUUCUUCUGCAAUAGAAAAGAAAAGAAAAAUGUAAAUAUUGCUUUGAUAUGUCUUUGUUUGGAAAUGGAAACUGGGAAAACUAAUCAUUUUACAGUUGUUUGAAUCUGUAGUAGAAUCUGAAAGCUUCAAGGAUAUGUCCAAAUAAUACAUACUAGUACUAGUAUGUUUAAUUAACAUAUUGUUGAGAGUCUGGGUCGAAAGAGAAGCCAGUAAGAAUAUGCCAUAAUGAUGGGUGUUUGCAGGAUGUAAUAUCUUCAUAGUUGUGUUUAAACUCCUUUUUUUUUCCUUGUUAGAUCUAUUGUACUAUUUAAAUUCCAAGCAACUGAUUUAUUAUUUUACAGAAUGAAUUUGGUGUCUGGGAAGUGUUCCUUCCAAACAAUGCAGAUGGUUCACCACCAAUUCCCCAUGGUUCUCGAGUAAAGGUAACACAUCUCAAGAUCGAAUACUAAAAUCUUACCGUGUAAAUUAGAGUUUAUGCAUUAAACUUGAUGCUCCUUGCUCAUGAAUUUUUUUCUGUGCUUGUCACUUUUGGCAAGCAAGAGAAAUAAGUUUGCGACUUUCAUUUGAAGUCUAAAAAUGUGCAUUUCCAUACAAAGUGAGAGCUUCUAGGAUUUUUUUGUCUCUUCUGCUUGUUUUCUUGAACUUUAAAAGAAUACCAGGAGCCUCUUGCUCAGCACCUGGUGAAUAUCAUGUGAAAUCAAGCCACUUUUACACAACAAGAAAAGGAUCUUUUGGCAGUGUAAUUUUGUCUUCUUAACUUUGCUAUUCAGUAUUCAUAACACAAGAAAAACAAACUGAAUGUAUGAUAUCGGCUUCAGCUUCAUAUUAGUUUCUUGCAUUUAAUUUAAGCUAGAUCUUUUCAUUUCCAGUCAGCUGCAAAAGGAGAUGAUUAUAAGUAUUAUUCAAGGCCCUGAGCUUGUUUAGUUUUAAAAACUUUGCUCCGCUAUUUAAAUACAUCAAAGAUGGUGAAUCUGUUUUUGAUUGCGUGUUUGUAGAUACGCAUGGAUACUCCUUCUGGCAUUAAAGAUUCUAUUCCUGCUUGGAUUAAGUUCUCAGUACAGGCUCCAGGAGAAAUCCCAUACAAUGGCAUUUAUUAUGAUCCACCGGAGGAGGUACACUUCUUGCUUGGGUUUCUCAUGGUUGCUGAAUAUAUUGUGAUGAUUUGGACCUAUAUUUUGCAUACACUAUCAUGAACUUAGGUUAAGGCAACAGAAAAUGUCAAUCUAAAAAUAAUGUUAGCAAUAAUUUAAGCAAGCCUUUGAGAGUUCAGGAAAAGGAAUUGUCAGUGUUGAUCCUAAUCCUGAGCUAUAGAUUUUUAGGCAAGUGACCCCUCAAGCGACUAACUAUGCACUUUGUUUGGGAGACUGAGAAUUUGGAACAUCAAGGAAUAACUCCCUAAGUUUUCAAAAUGUUGCACCAAAUAAUGUCCUCACUUUCUAAUUUUACUGUAUAUUACUAUUGAAAAACAAACAGGUUUCAAAGUUUAAAAUUGUUAGUUAGAGCCAUACAAGUCAAACAUUAUUAGUAUUUUCAGACUGCCUCAAGGGUAAGAAAGCAUUCCAAAGGUCUUGAGAUUUAGGGGAGUUUUUCAGCAUAAAGGAUGAGGAGUGCAAGGAAGAUUGGCUAUGCUUGGAUGGAUAGUUUGAGGAGGGUACGAGGGGAGGAGGGUUUGUGGACGGCAGUAUGGUUUUUUACAUGGUUGUGAGGCGAAGAUUGAUAGAGAAAGGGAGGGACAGAAAAUACUUGCUGAAAUACAAGGCUGGACUGUGUCUUGGUCUAGUAUUAGAAUCAUAAUUACCAUAUAGUCAGGUGGUUGAAUCCUGGGAAACUCAAUUAUUAAAAUUAAUAGUUCCAUAUACACAUGAUCCAUCCAGUUUCAAAGACCAGAUGGGCUUUCCGCAUCUGUUUGGGUGGCUGGGGAAUCUCCUUUCUGAGAUUAAAAAGGAAUCAGUAUGUGUGUAUCAUGCUAAGACUACAAGGGCUAGUGAGGUUGUUUCAAAACAACUUAUUGAUCAAUGCCAAUUUUUCAACGGUCAAUUUAGAAGGCGUUUGGCAACGCGUUAGCGUUUGCGUUUUUUUAAAAACGCAUGAAUGGCCGUUUGGUUACAAAUGUUAUCCUAAUUAAAACACAUGGGUCCCGCCAUUUAUAUGCGGCAGGACCACGAUUCUUUAGAAGCAGUAUUUUAGUGCUUUUGCACGAGAGUUUCAACCUGUGAUGGGCACACUGUUCAGUGAAUUGCACUGUUCACGUGAACAAUGCAGUUCACUUGCACUGUUUACGUGCACAGUUUUAGUUUGUUUGUUUUUUUUUUUUUUAAGUCUGUUUUUUUAAGAGCUUUUUUUGAAAAAAAACUAGUUUAGAGUAAAUUAAAUACACUCGCAUUGUGAAAUGAACAAUAUUUUUUUUUCCCGAAAAACUAGUAUAGAGUAAAUUAAAUUCACUCGCACUGUAAUAUCAAUUUUAUUUUAUCUGAUUUUAUUACACGCUCACAAAAUUAUGAAAACUAUAGUUCUUACCGGUUGAAUUUUGUAUGUAAUGGAAUUAUAAAUAGUUUAAUGGAAUAAUAAAAAAUAUUUUAUAUUUAUAUCAAGUAUUAUUUAUUUCAUGAUGUAAUAAGAGUAGUUAAUUCUAUAAUAUUUAAAUUUAAAACCAUCAAUAUUAAUAUAUAUAUAUAUAUAUAUUUUAAAAUUAUUUUAUAACCUCAAUUUCAAAAGCAUUUUUAACCAAACACAUUAAACUAUUUUUUCUUCAACCUCAAUUUCAACCACAGUUUUAACCAAACACCUAUUUUUUCAAACCAACCUCAACUAAAAGUACUUUUUAUAAAACAACUUUUUUUAAACCACAACCACAACAGCUACCGCAAUACCAAACACACUCUUAAAUAUCCAAAUAACUCAGCAAAGAGUAGCCUUUUCCCGAAAUUGUUAGGUGCUGGUACUGUUGCAUCUAGUAACACAUACUUGGAACCCUCAGACCCAGUUAUUAAUGGUCUAACAGGCUGGUGCACGCGCAGAAAGAAGUUUUGGAAUGGCUCAAAAGAAGUGUUGUUAUAGUACAUACUCCUAAAGUGGCCCUGCCAUAGUAAGUUCUGGUCCAUUCCAUUGCAGGAUAAGACCUGUGGGAGGUAUCCUUGCAGCUCACAUUUGACUCCCCUGAUGAUACGGGUCAAAUACUCUAAACUGCUAGUGGUUGCUUAGGUUUUUAUUUAUGAUUGGUUAGACCAUGGAUAGCAAAGACAUUGGUUUAGAUCGUUAUAUUUGGGGUGAAUGAGCUCAAGAGUCUUAUAUUAUCAAUUUUGUUUUAAUGACACUCAUUUUUCUAAAUUUCUUAAUCCAAUCACUGUACUACUGAUUCGUCAAUACCAUUGGACCACCUGUUACUUAUGGCGUUAUUUGUCUGUUAAUUUUGGAAUAUGCUCUUUUAUAUUUGAAAAAAGUCAUAAAAAAUAAGAAAUAGAUAAUGAAUUCUAAAAGCUUACAAACAUUAAAAUUAUAAAUAUUAAAGUCCUAACAAUGAUUAUUAGCCCUUGCAUAUAAUUAAUCAUUUUAGAAAUUAAAAAGAAAAUUAAACUAAUAAAAAAUAAGAUAAUCAAUUCACAUUAAAAAAAUAAAUGAAAACAAAAUCUAAACUAAAUUGUUUUAAAAAAAAGACAUAUCUAGAUUUUCUCUCGCAUUUUUUUCAUGAAAACCAAACUAUUACAAACCACAUGUCCAAAUUCUUAUGUAUUUCAUUAAAAAAUCCAAUUUUGUUACGUGGUUUCCAACUUUUUUACUAUAUGAACUCUUUUUAGAUAUAGUUGUUUGAUAAUAGAAGGGUUGUGCUAGUGACUAAAAGUUUGUUUGGGAUUUAGUUGAAUUUCUUAUAAUUUUUUUAAACUGGUGCGAUAAUGAAAGGUUGUAAUGGAAAGGAUUUUUAUUAUUUAAUUGAGCCUUUUGUUUCUUUUUUAUUUUCACUCAAUUUCAUAAUUGUUUUUUGUUCUACAAUUUUAAUUAAUAAAAAUGUAAUUAUAAAUCAAGGAAUGAUAAAUUGGUCGGUUAUAGUUUUGUCAAUUUUAUUUAUUUGGUUCUCAUAUUUUCAUUUUAUGCUGUUAACAUUUUUUUUAAAAAGACUAAUUUAUUUCUUAUUUUUAUAUGAUAUUUUUCUAAUAUAAAUAAGUAUAUUCCAAAAACUAUUUCAAAGUUAUUGGUUAAACAAUACCGUUAGUGAUGGAAGGAAUAACAUUAUGGACAAAACAAUGGUACAAAGGUUGAAUUAAGAAAUCUCAAAGAUGAGGGACCUCAUCAAGAUAAAAUCGAUAAUAUAGGGAUAAUAUAGGGAUCCUCGUGCUUGUUAACCCAUUAUAUUUUCUUAAGAAUUCAUGGUGCUCUGCUUUAUGCUCGCUGCCCAGAUGUUUUCUAGUCUUUAGUCUCCUUUGUUUGCCUCGAGUUUUGAUGAUUGCCAUGGAUAGAAAAAUCAUCAAUCAAACCAUUUCUGUAAUAAACAAUGGUGGUAGUUUUGUUGUCCAAAUAAAUGAAGAUUAGCACAUGUUUUUCACCUUUUCCGGAGGUGUUACACUCCCAAUGAGAUGUGCCAACCAUUGAUAAGCAACAAUUCUUCCAAUGCAAAUGAUUCUCAUAUCAUGUUGGAGAAUCUAUUGCAGAUGGCAACACUUCGUUGCUCCAAACAACCUAGAUAAUCCAUUAGAGGGGUACAUUGAUGCUGCAGAUGGGCUUUCCAUGGAUAAACAGGGGAAAUUCAAAUACAUGGGAAAUGCCACAGGCCCCUAGGCAGCAUGCACAGUCAAGGUCUUUGUGUUUCUGAAGUUUGUCUUGGAGAUGGCAUAGAAGGCUUUUACCUCUCCUUUGGGAUUGGUUUGGACCAACUCUUUAUGCCUGCUUCUUAAGUCCCAUCUCAAGCAGCUUUCCAGUCCUUCAUUUGUUCAACCAUGAGAAUAUAACAAGAUUCACACUUCUCCCUUGCCAAUUUCUUUGCCCCAUGUCUCGUUUCUAGCACCAUACAAUAGUCAAAGUUCUUUGAGUGAUGAUUUUCACAUUCCCUUAAUUGUGUUGAGAAAGGGAAGAAGAAAUAAGGUUGAAGCCAGGAAAAGAAAAGAAACAUCUAUAUUUGUAUCUCGAGGCUAUUUUCUCAAAGAUUAGCCAUGUUGCUUAUAAGGUUUAAAAAGUUAAAAUCAAUUGAUGUUUAGUGCAGUAAGAAUGUUUGCUGCUGAUGAAAAGAUGGUGGUGGAUAAUAGAAUGUCGGAGCCCAUCAAUGAAGUCUUGGAGACUUUGAACUUAGAUGAAACCUUGGUUAUUAUAGUUAAGAGAAGAGAUUGGCUUUUUAAAGAUUUCCAACUCACUCUUCAUGAUGAUCAAGUGUGGCCGGCCAUGAAGGGUAUUGAAGAAUUCCUUGUUUUUGAUUGCAGUCUUUCUUGGGUCUGUUGGUCCUUGUUUCUCCUGAUCUGGGCACCAUUAUGUCGUAUGAAAGCAUGUUUCCAAUUUCUUGUGUUGUAACUUUGGGCCCCCCAGCACUUUUGUUGUGUUGGUUGUUUAGUAUCUUAGGCUCUUUACCCUGUGUGUUUGUCUUGGCUGGGCCUUGCUCUCUCUAGGUUGUAGCUUCUGUCAUGUCUUAUUUUCAUCCAUGUGAGUUAUAAUGGUGGUAGUGGUGCUCUUUAGUUUUGUCUGGCUUGGUGUUGCCUUAUCACCCAUCUUUGUUUCCUUUUUUUCUUUCUUUCUAAUAAAGAGUACUACUUGAUUUAUGUAAAAGAAGAAGAAGAAGCAAGUUGAAGAUUGAGAUGAUUCUACAAAAGAAUGAUCCUUAGCAGAAGAAGCCAUCCUGGAUUACUUCUUUGUCCAGCAACUCACAAGUCAUGAGCCUCUUGUCAUUCAUGAUCUUAGUGAAAUCUAUAAGCUACUCACUACAACACCAAUGGUCAAUAAAAUCAGUCAUCAUAUUGAACAAGCAUCAGAUCUAAAAACUUAAGCUUUGAAGUAGAAGCCAAAUGCAUAAAUAUCAUAACAACUAUGCUUGAGUAAUCCGUGUUAUUAGUUGUGGCUUUAAUUUGUGUUCAUUUGAGAACCAACAAGCAUUAGCUGCAGUUCAUGAUGUAAAACACUCAAAAUUGUAUUAAAUGAUUGAAAAUCUAUUCCAUUUUCUUCAUAAUUUCUGUUUGAGGUCUGUGGCUUUGCACAUUGAUGCUAUUGCUUACUUCUUUGCAGGAAAAGUAUAUAUUCAAACAUCCUCAACCAAAGAGACCAGAGUCACUUAGGAUUUAUGAAGCUCAUGUCGGAAUGAGUAGUACGGUGUGCAUCUUCUCCCAUUAUGUCUCAUGUUACAAGCUCUUAUUCACUGCUUCCUUGUACUGGUGAUUAAAAUCAUUCAUGAUUGGAUGGUGUUCAAACAUGUAGAGCUGUUUUAUAUCUUGGCAAAUAUUUAUUAAAAAGAAAUUGGGAGUUAAUGCAGAAUGCUUCUUUGAAUUGUCAUGGUAGAAGUAUCUACAAAUGCCUCUAUAAUGAUGGAGCAUGACCAGUCACUAUACUCAUGCUUCACUAAUCCUGCCAAAUAGUGCAAGAUGACAUUUUCUUAAAGAACAGUGGUCUGUACCAGCAACCUUGUUCAGGGUUCUGGUCCUCCUCAAAGCCUGGACAAUGCGAUAUGCCCGAAACCAUAUUGUCUUGCCCUUGCAUGAUUGAACGAACACCAAUCAAAGGCAAUGGUUUAGGGUACUGUCAUGUGAUUAUUUUUACUACAUACUUCUGAUUUCCUUCUUUCAAUUACCACGCCAAAUUUUUACAAUUUAUGUAUUUUGUUGAAAUAUCUCUGCAUGAUGAGAAUGGUUAGGUUACAGAUCUUAAUACAUUAUGGCAUGACCUUUAUUUGGACUCUUUAAUCUUUCUCUUGCUUAUUCCUAUUUAAUUUGCAGCCUCUUCAUUCUAUCCCUCGUAAUUUUGCCACUUCUUAAAUGCAGGAGCCAUUAAUCAACACAUAUGCCAACUUUAGAGAUGAUGUGCUUCCUCGGAUCAAAAAACUUGGUUAUAAUGCUGUUCAGAUUAUGGCUAUUCAAGAGCAUUCAUAUUAUGCUAGUUUUGGGUAUUUCCUUUAUUUAGGAUAAAGCUCCACUUUCUAUUAUUCCCCUUUUUUCUUUUACAUGUAUAUUUUCCCAAAGCUUGGUGUUCAUUAGCAUAGUGGGCAGUUUUUGCUUCCCUGUAAACUCACGAAUUCCUUUUGAUGAUAUGAAGGUACCAUGUCACAAAUUAUUUUGCACCCUGUAGUCGAUGUGGAACCCCUGAUGAUCUGAAGUCUCUGAUAGAUAGAGCUCACGAGUUAGGUCUGCUUGUUCUCAUGGAUAUUGUUCACAGGUAACUUUCCAUUAAGUACAAUAUGUAGAAAUGACUGGUGUAGACUCAAAACUUUAAAUUCUGAUGAUUUUGGCGAAUUGACUUCUAUAAGUUAAAGAGGAAGAAACAAACUUGAAAAAUGCAUGAAUUAUGGAAAUUAUUAUUUGGGUGUAGUGGCUUUCAAAUGUUCAUUCUUGAAUAACCACUAUUUACAUCUUUGUAUUUUAGUAUUUAUUAGAAAAGUUUGAGCCAUCUUAAAGUAAGAAUAUGUUCUGAAGAUUAAUUGGAAUCUUGAGAUGAAAAGUCAUUCAUCUAGGGUUAUGUGCAGGAAUACAUGAAUCAUAACCUUCAUUAAUCCGUAGCUUUUAUUUAUUUUUCACUAAACCAUGUCUUUGAGACAAGUUAACAAUGGGCAAGAACAGAACCUAUCAUUUGUGAACUCAUCAUGCUAUCAUUCAGUAAGUUUGGUAUGAUAGCAGCUCUUUUCUUAAGUGUGCUUGCUAAUAUUUUGGGUGUCACUUAUUCUGUUUGAUUGGAUAAAUAACUUUUUUAAUGCUUUUAUUCAAUCUUUCAUUCCAUAAAUCAUAGUGAACAUUCAUUACCGAUUAUUACUUGAUCUCCUAGUAAUAAUCUUUCUUUUGGUUGACAACUAAUAUCAAAUGAAUCCAGCCAUGCAUCGAACAAUACUUUGGAUGGUUUGAAUAUGUUCGAUGGAACUGAUAAUCACUACUUCCACUCUGGUUCACGGGGACAUCAUUGGAUGUGGGACUCUCGCCUUUUCAACUAUGGGAGCUGGGAAGUAUGUGCUUGUUUGAAUCUUCAGCAACAGUAUUUGUCUGGAAUUUUUAUUUUUCAUUUGUCUUUUUCUUAUAGUUGGUGAGGACUAAAUACUUGCUCAUUGGUUUAGGUACUGAGGUUUCUUCUUUCAAAUGCAAGAUGGUGGCUGGAUGAAUAUAAGUUUGAUGGGUUCAGAUUUGAUGGUGUGACUUCGAUGAUGUACACCCACCAUGGGUUGCAGGUAUCAUUUAGGUUCUUUAGGGUAUAUUAUUUUUGUUUGCCUAAUCAGGUAACAAUCUCUCAAGUUCUAUGAAGCCUUGGAUGUGCUCAAUUAGAGGGAUAAAAGUUAUAGAUGCUUGAUUCUUAAACCUUAUGUGACUACUAUGGCUAGGCUCAUUAUGCUUAUUUUGAUGUUUCCUUUUAGCUCUAUUAGGGCUAUGGGUGGUGGAACUUAAUUGUUUGGUGUUCUAUUUGACUUAUGAUUGAAUGACAGAUAUUUUCUUUGGUUAUUUUUUCCAACUUGAUGCAGAUGACUUUUACUGGAAACUACAAUGAGUACUUUGGAUAUGCAACUGACAUAGAUGCUGUCGUAUAUCUGAUGGUUGUUAAUGAUAUGAUUCAUGGUCUCUUCCCUGAUGCUGUUAGCAUUGGUGAAGAUGUAAGUUUUUGCCCCCUAGAGGAAUCAACAGCUACAGUUAAUCCAAUGCCAGACCUCUCUGCUUGCUCAUGUUUAUAAUUUUCUUUUUUACUUUGCAGGUCAGUGGAAUGCCAACAUUCUGCAUUCCUGUCCAAGAUGGUGGCGUGGGAUUUGAUUAUCGCCUCCACAUGGCCAUUGCUGAUAAAUGGAUUGAGCUUCUCCAGUAUGUUGCCACUGAAACUCUCCAACCUCUUUUUGACUGCCUUGAAUCUGCAUCUUCUUGUUUGAUGCUAUUUUAAGGUCUUUUCUGGCAGUCACUUUCUAUUUGUACUGGGUGUAGGAAGAAGGAUGAAGACUGGAGAAUGGGUGACAUUGUACACACUCUCACUAACAGAAGGUGGCUGGAAAAGUGCGUUUCAUAUGCUGAAAGUCAUGACCAAGCUCUUGUUGGUGACAAGACCAUUGCAUUCUGGUUGAUGGACAAGGUUAUAUGAGUUCUUUCCCAUAUCAUUCCAAAAUCAAAAUUUAUGCACAUGUUUAUUAGAGAAUAUUGUUUUUCUCUUGACUGUUUACACCAGUGGGAGAAAUGAUGCAUUAGGUAGAACAGAAAAAUAAUGGUUAACAUUUGAACAAGUUUAAAGUUUGAAGAAGAGAAUGAGGUGCAGGGUUUGUAGAAAUUCUAACUAUUGUAAAUAUUAAUUAAACUGAUUUGUCUUCUACAAUACUUCUGAUAGCCUAUUUAUUGUAGUUAUAACCAUUGUAGGAAUAGAAAUUGCCACAAAUCCUAGUUGACUACUAUCAUUAAAUGUCAGAUAUACAUAACUAGAUCGAAAUAGCAUAAGGAUUUGUGAAACUAAAAAAGAACACCAAAAUCAGUAAGGAAAACAAACUUUUCUUCGCAAUCCCCAUGGAGAACUUGACUCUAGCAAGAAGACUUUUUGCAUCUGGUGCAUAUAUCUAGGGCUUAGCUUUCUUUAUUCAUCUUAUUUUAUCAGAGUACUUUCUUCAGAGUUGAAGUAGGGUGAGGAGGAAACCAGCAAUUACUGCAGAUAUAAUGGCUAAAACUAUAAGAAAAUUGAAGCUCAAACUUAUAAACAUUGAUUUGCCGGUUUGUAGAGAAACCUCUACAGUAUAUUUAUAGGAAAUAAAAGAUGUCUGUAAAUUAGCCAAAGCAACCUUAUUUAUAUUAGUUCCAAGUCUAAAUCCUGAUCCUUAUAGAGUGAAUCACAUUUCAAAGUUACAUGAAAAUUGAAAACCCAAAUAACUAGAGGAUUCCUAAACUAAACAACAACACUAAAAUUACUAAGGAAAAUAUAAAUUCUUCCAAAAGUUCAUGUGCCAAUCAAUGGAUGCAGGGUGGCAAGAGGAAAACAAUAGAAACAGAAAAUUCGGCACUGUAAUGGCUAAAACUAGAAGGAUAUUGAAGCUGGAACAGGAUAAUAAGUUUAGGGCUCGCCAUUAAACCUUUAAAAUUUGAAUAGAUCUACAUCUAUCUUCUAUAUGACCAUUAAAUUGAUGAAGUUUUUGAAGUUGUUGAGUAAUUGUAGGCAUGAUCCCUUUCAAUUAUAGUGUCAUGUCAGCAAUACAAUUUUUUUUCCUAGGCACACUGCUUGAACCAUUAGGAUGUUACUAUUUAGGGACUCCAAAAUGUGUCAUUUUAUUUGUAUUUAUCAAAGGAAAACAUGUCAUUCUAUUUUUUUUUGUGUUAUUUCAUCUUAAACAUUUGGAAUGAGGAAAAAAACACAAAAUCUUAAAUUCUUGGGAUGAGACACCAUGUCGUUUUGCUUUAUAUAUAAAUGUUUUCCUAUAGAGCAGUGAUCCCAAAAGUUACAAACUCCCAAGUUAUUAAAAAAUUUACCAUUUUCUACUAUAUUUUUCUGUUUUUCUUCCUACUCCACAUCAUAAAACCCUAUGGUUUAUCAAGCUGGGAAUCAGUCUUCUAAUUCUCCAUUUGUCUCAGGAUAUGUACGACUUCAUGGCUCUUGAUAGACCAUCAACUCCUCUUGUAGAUCGUGGAAUAGCAUUGCACAAAAUGAUCCGGCUUAUUACCAUGGGUUUAGGAGGAGAAGGAUAUUUGAAUUUUAUGGGAAAUGAGUUUGGACACCCUGGUAAGAAUAUUUAUGAAUUUUAUUACCAUGGUUAUUACUAUUCUUUAAUGUCUUCUUAUUGGUUCUAUCAUCAUUUAAUGAAUUUUUAUUAAAUUGGUAGCUUUUAUAAUGUCGGUGUGCUUUUCUUUUAUUCUUCUCAGAGUGGAUUGAUUUCCCAAGGGGCGAUCAGCGCCUUCCUACUGGUAAAAUUAUUCCAGGCAAUAAUAACAGUUUUGAUAAAUGCCGGCGUAGAUUUGAUCUAGUAAGUUUAUGCCUGAUUUUGAAACCUAAUCUGACCAUUGCAGUUUAUUCUUGGCUCAAUUGGAGCUUGAAAAAGUGUUGGUCUUAAUAACCAUUACUUGCACUGAAAAACAAACUGAUGAACCCACGAGGAAUUUUAAGAAUUGUUGAAACAAAGUAGCUCUUCCACCUGGUUUCUGGAAUUUACUCACAUCUGACAUGUGUUGAUUUUUCAUGCGUGCCCAGGGGGAUGCAGAAUAUCUAAGAUACCAUGGAAUGCAAGAAUUUGAUCGGGCAAUGCAGCAUCUUGAAGAAAUCUAUGGUGUAAGUUCCUAUCAUACUGUUAUGUAGCAUAGUUUUGGCUGCUGGUGAGCUGCAUUUAUGGAUUAUGAACUUAUAUUUAUUUAUUUGCUUGAAUGCAUCUUAUAUUAAGCAAGGUAAAGGAGCCAGUGUCUCCAUAUUCUAGCUUGAUUCGUUUUUUCUAUUUCAUGUCUGUGGGCUGAGAUGGUGGAAGCCUGCAAUUAUUUACUUGUAUCACAUGGUUUCAAAUCUCUGCAAGAUAUUGCAAAGCAAAGCGUAUCUCAUUAACCUGUAAGAGAGUUGAAAUCAUUUCAAAUCAUGUCCCACCAUACCACAUUCCAAUAGCAACAUAUUUGCAAACAUUGAGCUAUAUUUUUCUCUUUUCAUAAGAAAAUUCAACUUUUCUUUCUAGGUCUUCAAACACACUGGUACUGUUCUUUUUAACUGUUACACUUGACUAUUUAUUUUAAAAAUAUAUUGACAAGCUAUUUUAACUCUAAUCGAGAUUAGAAAAAAUAUUCUCCAUCUUGCUUGUGAAACAGCUACGGUUUAAGCAGAUUGCUCGCAUUUAAAAGUCUCACAUUUUAAAGUCUUUUUAAAUGUACUUCAUUUCCCAAAUUUUUUUCUGUUCACUUCUCUUGGUUUGGAAUUUUAGAGUUUUACACACUGAAAUUAGCUGACUAUAUCUGUCCUUGAAAUUGCUUUAUCUUUGGUGCUUAAUUUAGACUGUUGAACCCCAUCCCCAACAAAGGAUCAUUCUCACCUUCAUUUCUAUUUCAAUUAUUGGCAUGAAAUACCGAACCAGCAAAUCUAUGAGUUUGCUACCCUGUGCUUGCAAAAUUUAAGAUAAAUGUGAAAAAUAAAUUAAAAAUGUUAAGGCUUAAAUGGUAACUGUUUUUGCAGUUCAUGACAUCUGAGCACCAAUAUAUAUCACGGAAAAACGAAGGGGAUCGAGUUAUUGUCUUCGAAAGAGGGAACUUGGUUUUUGUCUUUAAUUUUCAUUGGACCAACAGUUAUUCAGAUUACCGAGUAGGCUGCUUAAAGCCAGGAAAGUACAAGGUAUUCACUGUAACCUUUUCUAACCUUUUCUAUAUGCUUGCACAAGUAAUAAAGGUUAUGAAAAUUAAAAAAAACAAAAACAAAAUCAACAGUGCUAAUUGUGCCCGCCCUUUUGUAUGCUCAGUAUUGAUUAAUCUAUGUUUAGGAAUGUGUAGGCUUUCAAUUCAGUUCAGUUCUGUUUAUAGAUAUCUUGUAAAUCCCCAGCAUUUUAAAACUUGUAAUCUAGUUGAUGCCUCGUGCUGUGCUAGUUUGCCUCAAAUUUUCCACUUCUAUUUAUAAAACACAUUUUGUUCUUUGCCUGCAGAUUGUUUUAGAUUCUGAUGAUCCAUUGUUUGGAGGCUUCAAAAGGCUUGAUAAGGAUGCUGAGUACUUCAGCUCAGUAAGAAAAUUCUCUCAAGUUUGUUACCUGAAUUUAGUUUCAUCCUCAUCCGUCUUCCACUGGGCAAUUCCUUGUAAAUAUUAGAAUAUUUGUCAACAUUUAUGUGGUGAUUGUGCAGGAAGGGUGGUAUGAUGACCGGCCUCGUUCCUUCCUGGUGUAUGCACCAAGUGGAGGAUGAAUUGGAACCUGCUGAGAGUGAAAAUGAACCUGCUGAGGGCUGAUAUUGAUCUCAACAAAACCUUUCUCGAUUUAGGAAUGGCAUCAGGCAUCUUCAAUCGACAUAGUACAUGGAGGACCAUGAUUUAAGUCAAUCCUAGUGCCAUUGCCAGCAUUUUGUCAUCCAAGCACAACCAAGA